rnacentral:rRNA from 1 species
AGUCGAACGAGAAAGUGGAGCAAUCCAUGAGUAAAGUGGCGACCGGGUGAGUAACACGUGACUACCUGCCCUUGAGUGGGGGAUAACUUCGGGAAACCGAGGCUAAUACCGCAUAACAUCGCAAGAUCAAAGGAGCAAUCCGCUGAAGGAGGGGGUCGCGGCUGAUUAGCUAGUUGGUGAGGUAACGGCUCACCAAGGCGAAGAUCAGUAGCCGGCCUGAGAGGGCGCACGGCCACACUGGAACUGAAACACGGUCCAGACUCCUACGGGAGGCAGCAGUGGGGAAUUUUGCGCAAUGGGGGAAACCCUGACGCAGCAACGCCGCGUGGAGGAUGAAGUCCCUUGGGAUGUAAACUCCUUUCGAUCGGGACGAUAAUGACGGUACCGGAGGAAGAAGCACCGGCUAACUCUGUGCCAGCAGCCGCGGUAAUACAGAGGGUGCAAGCGUUGUUCGGAAUUAUUGGGCGUAAAGGGCGCGUANGCGGUGCGGUAAGUCUGUGGUGAAAUCUCCGGGCUCAACUCGGAAAUUGCCAUAAAAACUGCCGUGCUG